rnacentral:rRNA from 1 species
GCUUGUCUCAAAGAUUAAGCCAUGCAUGUCUAAGUUUAAGCUCCUGGUGAGCGAAACUGCGAAUGGCUCAUUAAAACAGUUAUAGUUUCUUUGAUGACUAACAAUUACUUGGAUAACUGUAGUAAUUCUAGAGCUAAUACAUGCGUAAACACCCGACUUUUGGAGGGUCGCACUUAUUAGAUACAAAACCAACCUGGGGCAACUCAGAGUAAUGGUAAUUCAUAAUAAUUCAGCUGAUCGCACACUUCGGUGGCGACACGUCAUUCAAGUUUCUGACCUAUCAGCUAUCGACGGUAAGGUAUUGGCCUACCGUGGCAUUGACGGGUAACGGAGAAUUAGGGUUUGAUUCCGGAGAGGAAGCCUGAGAAACGGCUACCACAUCUAAGGAAGGCAGCAGG